rnacentral:lncRNA from 13 species
AUAAAAAGUGCUUGUGAAUAUGUCCUGACAAAUGUAGUCAUGGUGAAUGACAAGAUGUGUCAAGUUGCUUGUAAGAACAUAACCUUUGGAUGUUGACAUUUUCUCCUGGUUACAGUCACUUCAUUCAGAAACUUACAGCUGUGCUUACCCCACUGGUUUGGGGCCCAUCAGGAUAAUGUGAUCCCUGCCAGUAUGGAGCUUUUCUGGAAUAAUUUUUGAAUCCCUCUAACCGAACAAGAACAGGAAUGACAAAUUUGGUUGAAAAUAUGUGCCUACUAUCAACUAUUCUAGUUAAUAAAAUGAGGUUAAGGAGAAAGCUGUCUAAUAGAUUUUUUUUCUUCUUGCCUGUACCAAGCAUAUAACGAUUCAAGGACUGCAGGUGACAGAUACAGUUUGUUUUUCAUAUAGGAAGAAAAAAAU